UACGAGGGGGGCGAGCGUUGUUCGGAAUUAUUGGGCGUAAAGGGUGCGUAGGCGGUUUGGUAAGUCUUGUGUGAAAUCUUCGGGCUCAACUCGAAGUCUGCACGAGAAACUGCCGGGCUUGAGUAUGGGAGAGGUGAGUGGAAUUCCCGGUGUAGCGGUGAAAUUCGUAGAUAUUCGCAAGAACACCAGUGGCGAAGGCGGCUCACUGGCCCGGUACUGACGCUGAGGUGCGAAAGCGUGGGGAGCAAACAGG
rnacentral:rRNA from 1 species